AUCUAGGUUAACUAGUAUCAUCUCUACUUGGAGUGUCGUAAAUGGUUGAAUAUACUCUAACCAACCCAUCUACUUAUCGGAUGUAUGGCUUGCCACCCCUACCUAUAUUGGGGAAUGACUCACUUUGCAUACCUCAACAUUGAAGCCACAGUCUAUUAAAAAGAGUAACCAUGCACGUUGUUGUUCAGAAAGUCUGUCUCUAGGGCCUUUCACUUCAACGAGUUUUGCUUCACCUCUGUACUCGUCGUGGAAGCGCCAAAGCAAUAAGUCGGGCAUUCCACUGGACCAGCUCCUGUAAUCUUGAGCCAAAUUCCGACAGAUUGAUGCAAGACAAGGACCUCCGAUGCAUGUAACUGCUGCUCGGAGCUCAGAAAGAGAAUGCUUGUCCCACUUAACUCCCCUACAGACUGUUCCCAUAUGUGAUUCCCAUGACAUGAUAAGUAACUCUUCUGCCAUGCCAUGCUCAAUCUUAUCUAGAAGACCUUCUACAAGACCCUUUCUGACUUCAUAAAAGCUAUCAGUUUCAAGAUCCAAAGGUGCAGUCUGAAAUUUGGUACGGAAGACAUUUGGUACAUCCGCAAAUACAAUGUCCCACAUUAGAAGCCCGAAAAUAGUCAACCAAAUCCCACUCUCAGUGUGAACACCCUGCCAGCGUCCUCCUUCUCCAGCAUAAUACUGAAGAGCAAGAUCUUCUACUCCACAACGUUCUCCAUCCUCACCAUAAAAGACAUUCUUCACCCCUGUUUUGCAGUUCACUGGUCUGCCCUGAACCUGAACCUCAACUAUCUUCCUAUUGAUGGAAUUCGAAAAACUGGGAGU
rnacentral:misc_RNA from 1 species